AGAUGAGGAUGAUGAUGAUGAUGAUGAUGAUGAUGAUGGAAACGAUCAAUAUAAUCAGCUGCCAUCAUCAUCACCGGUCUAA
rnacentral:pre_miRNA from 1 species